GAACAUUUUGCCAAGAUGGCUGCUUGUGCAUAGUUCGUGUUUUAUUUAUUUAACUCUAUAAAUGCUUAUUUAAACGUUAUUAAAUAAAAGAGACGAGUUAAUUAGUUAAAACAAAAAUAAUGUAAUGCUCCGUUGAUCGUUUGAAAAAAGAAACUGUUAACGGUCAAAGAUAAGGACAAAUUGUGCCAGGACAUGGAUGGUGCAUUUGAAUUCGGUGUUUUCCGAUGGCAAGUAUAAUUCGGUCCGGCAGUACAUUGAAUACGUGAAUGGCAGCCCUAAUUAAUCCUUACGUCGAACCAGCCAGAGCUCAUUGAAAUUGGAUCAAAAGAAACCUUCUAAUGGAUAUUUGAAUGCAUCGAUAGCAUUUGGAUUCACGGACCGUCUUGAUGGGUUUGGUACAACAAUGGCUAUGAUGCAGAUAUUAUGGCGGCGUGUCUAAUGCUGGAAGAAAGCUUCGGACUUAUGAACAAAAAGUUAUUACUCCGGUUUCGAAGACGCUGAUUACUUUUCAAUCUUUAAAUAUUCCUUACAAAUUACUUUGGAAAUACUUGCUUUAAAAGUGUCAUAUGUUAAUUAAUUAAGGAGUAUUUAGUCUCUGUAAGUAUAUUAUUUCAAUAAAGAAUUCCAAUUUCAAAAUAAUUUUUAAUUUAAAUAUAAAUAGAAUUUCUAACUUCUAUAAAGUUUCUGGGACCCGUCAUAUUAUAAAACAAGUUGAUAAUAGAGUGCGGCACCCGCAAAAUACAAGCCAGCACUUGUAACGAA